UCUCAGAUAGUAUAGUGGUGAGUAUCCCCGCCUGUCACGCGGGAGACCGGGGUUCAAUUCCCCGUCUGAGAG